rfam:Alligator sinensis unplaced genomic scaffold scaffold280_1, whole genome shotgun sequence
CAUGGCUUUAGAUGUUUAAAGCACCUGUCUCAUAAACAGUAAAUCCUGGGAUCAAAUCACAGUG